GGGCGGGGUGCUGGGCCCCUAAACCCUUAAUCUCCAUGACUAUAUGAAUACCUACCAGGAAAUCCUCUCUCUUAGGCCACAACACUGUUUCAGCUUUCAGAUCAGACAGCCAGUGGCCACUACAUAAAUACAACUAAAUAGAUUCCUUUCUUUUAUUCCUGGGUAUUGUGUUAAAUUGGUACCCUGGGGUUGGGAGGCAUCAAAAGGUACUGCCUAUGCGAUGGUUAAACAUUAAAAGACCAUGUAAUAAAAUUGGUUUUACCCAGUUUAUAGCUAUGCUACUAAAAGUAGCCGUGCAAGAGGAAGCUGCUGUCCGAAGUUUAACAGGCCUGUAAACAAUUCAUAUAUUCCACCACAUAAAAAGGAACAAAAGCAACUGUGAGCCAGACCCCAAUUACUGCUUCUUGUUGGUUACUCUUAACCUGAGUGGCCCAAAUCCUGCAAGGUAUUUAGGUUUUUCACUUCUCUGUGAACUGGAAAUACUAUGGUCAGUUUAAAGGAAUGCAGUUCUUAUGGUUUAGGGUAAGAUUCUUUCUCAUAUGGAAAUAUUGUAACGAGAAAGUGGCAAACCCUCAUUGGCCAGUAUCUUACCCUGCUGAACAACAUGGACUGAAGAGUUUGAUUUGUGUUCAGAUGUCACUGACUUCAUGGGGGGGGGGGGAAAGCCUAAGGUGGAAAAGCAACCCACUGGAAUUAAAAUAGUCAAAAA